GGUUAAUACGUAGUUUGUAUUUGAAUAGUUAGAUUAACGUGUUAGUAGUCCAAUUGUAGGCGGUUCGUGUGUGGAUCUCGUCAGCAUAUCGUCGCAAACAGGUAAUCCCCAACCAUAGUGGGCUUGGAGCUGUGAGGGAAUUCGGAGUGGCCACCCGUUCUGAAAGUUUGAUUUUCUUCUGGUGAACUGGACAUCCUUUUAUUUACGUUUGAAGUUUUGGGUUUUUAAAUGUAAUAAGGCCGCUUAAUUAUUUUUGAUGGUUUUAAUAUGUAUUACUAAGAUAGGUAUUACUUAUUUUAA